AAAACAGGCUUGGGAAAGGCGAAGCCAGCAAAGUCGAAGACACCAGAGUGGUACUGGUUUUGUGAGGGCACCCACGCUUGACCUCAGGCUACGAUCAGCGAGCGACAGAGAGCAACGUCGCACUGCAUUCUUACCAAACACCCAGAUGACGAAAUAACAGAAGAGUUAUGAGGAGUGCUGAAGCCAAAUCCUCAAGAAAUGGCAGAAUUAAGAUCUGAACUAAAGCCUGAAAUCAUGUGCUGGCACGUGGUGGGUGCUCAGUAAAUAUCUGCUGAAAAAGCAAA